GAGCUUGAAGUAGUUCCCUGGGUGGAGAGAAAAUAAAAGCAGAGCUGGGAAAAUCUUUUUCCCUGACAGGAAGAAGGGAGUCUGGGUUUGGGGCAGCCAAAGAGCAUUGGUUCAACUUUCGCUCUUGGAGAGCAGAGGAUACCAAGGCUUGUUGUUGGGACCCCACAUAAACCAGAAGGUUCAGCUCCCAGUCACCAUCCAGGCUGACCCAAGCAACGGGUGGUCACCGCACUCCAAACAACAGCUCCAGUGCACCUGGAGACCAGCUCCAGAAAGCAAGUUAAACAAUGAAAUGGUAAAGUAUCUGAGCAGGCGUGUCCCAGGUGGGAACAGACUUGUAGCCAGGACAAGAGCGCCCCACACACAUGUCUGCGUCUGCUUGUGCAACUGUGCUUUGAAAAUAGAACGUGUCUGAUAUUCAACAUGGAACACCCAGAUGUAAGAUAUAAAAUGCCCGUGCAGGUGCUGCUCACCCGUGCAAUGCUAGCCGCGGCGUGCUGUCAACAGUUCCUUGAUUCCUGAAGCAAACACGUCCCCCAUGUCCCAUACCUUCUAUCAUGGCCAGAGCCCCUGAGCACCUGUAUUCAGGAGCCCUGGACAGGUGUGAGUGCCCUGUGUCUGCGGG
rnacentral:lncRNA from 1 species